GAGUUCAAUAAAGAACAUGGUUCCUGAUACUCCAGCUCCAGAUAAAGGGCAGUGAUCCAUCCAUCACCUUUCCCAUCAGACAAUAGGCACCAGCGUUUGAAGAAAUAUGUCAGAAAAUAAAGAACUCAGGUCCACCAGCCCUGGAGUGGCACCACCCACAAUGAGCUGGGCCCUCUCCCAUCAAUCACUAAUAAAGAAAAUGCCCAGCAGAUUUGCCUGCAGUCUGAUCUUAUGGAGGCAUUUUCUCAAUUGAAGUUUCCUCCAUUCACAUGACUACAGUCUGUGUUAAGAAAUCUAGCCAGCACAAGGAUGGUGAUAUCUCCAGUAGCUCUUUGGCUAUUAAAGAUUGGUUUAGCUAUCCUAAGUGGGGUUUUUGUUGUUGUUGUUGUUGCUGCUCUGUGUAUUUGCAUAUGAAACUGAAAAUUGUCCUAUUAAGUUCUGUGAAAAAUUAUGUGUUAGGUCUCAAACCUGGGGCCAAAUGGGUAACUAAGGUGCCCAUUUAACAUAUUAAACCUGACCUGGCUACCAAGUUCUUCCAGCAUCUCUUGGUCCCUACCUAUUAUAGGGUAUGGCUGGCAUACUUUAUGCCCUAU
rnacentral:lncRNA from 1 species